AUUGUGCUACAGCGGUGAUUUAAACCAAGCCCCAAGGAGGCUCCGUGGCUAACUAGAGGCCUCGCAGCCAGUCAGCUGAAAUGCCAGAACUCCUGGCCCCUGGCCCCCAGACCACGGCUGCCCCCCCGGAACUAGGAAAUGGUCGCGAUGCCCUCAGCCAGCGGGAGCAGGGCGCUAGGGAUGAGCCCGAAGUAGCUCUCGGUGCAGGAGCGGUUCCCGGCCGCGCGCACCGGGGUGGAAAAUCCCCGCAAGCAGCAGCAGGACACUAGAGACACCACUUGUUGCGACUCUCCCGGCCGUCGAAAAAGCUCCAGCGGCUCCCCAGGCACGGGCGCCGGCGCCAGCUCCUGGCAGUGCGCUCCAGCUCGCCGGGCCUGGACGCAGCACCGCCCCGCCGCAACAGCGGAUGCGCCGCGCGCCCUUUCAGAUAACUUCUGAACCAGACAUGAGGAAAAAGAAUGAGCCACACGGGUAUCUUUGAACACUAGCAGACCAGGAACAAGCAAAGGUGUUGAUUGAGGCUAUGUCUACACUACUACUUAUCUGAAGAGACAGUCAGCUACUAGCCAAAGUGUUGGAAUGCUGCUACCUAAAAGAAUCCCUGGACUUGUGUGUUGACAAGGCUCUGAAGUGUUUAGAAAAGAACUGAGAUGCUUCCAUUCUUCUCAAGCUCUGAAGAAUCUAGCUGACACACACACUGCAUAGUAUGGCCAUGUUAUAGAGACCAAGAAACCAUCUCAGAGAAGA